UAGAAGAGAUGGCGACCGGCGCACGGGUGAGUAACACGUAUCCAACCUGCCGGUAACUCCGGAAUAGCCUUUCGAAAGAAAGAUUAAUACCGGAUGGCAUACGAAUAUCGCAUGAUAUUUUUAUUAAAGAAUUUCGGUUAUCGAUGGGGAUGCGUUCCAUUAGUUUGUUGGCGGGGUAACGGCCCACCAAGACUACGAUGGAUAGGGGUUCUGAGAGGAAGGUCCCCCACAUUGGAACUGAGACACGGUCCAA
rnacentral:rRNA from 1 species